GCUUAUGGCCACACCGCCUGGUUCACGGCUGAUCUCGUUUGAUCUCGGAAGCUAUGAUAGGUUGGGCCUGGUUAGUACUUGGAUGGGAGACUUCCUGGGAAUACCAGGUGUUGUAAGAU
rnacentral:rRNA from 1 species